rnacentral:rRNA from 1 species
GAUGAACGCUGGCGGCGUGCCUAAUACAUGCAAGUAGAACGCUGAAGGAGGAGCUUGCUCUUCUGGAUGAGUUGCGAACGGGUGAGUAACGCGUAGGUAACCUGCCUGUUAGCGGGGGAUAACUAUUGGAAACGAUAGCUAAUACCGCAUGACAACAGUUAUUGCAUGAUAACUGUUUAAAAGGGGCAACUGCUCCACUACCAGAUGGACCUGCGUUGUAUUAGCUAGUUGGUGAGGUAACGGCUCACCAAGGCGACGAUACAUAGCCGACCUGAGAGGGGGAUCGGCCACACUGGGACUGAGACACGGCCCAGACUCCUACGGGAGGCAGCAGUAGGGAAUCUUCGGCAAUGGACGGAAGUCUGACCGAGCAACGCCGAGUGAGUGAAGAAGGUUUUCGGAUCGUAAAGCUCUGUUGUAAGAGAAGAACGAGUGUGAGAGUGGAAAGUUCACACUGUGACGGUAUCUUACCAGAAAGGGACGGCUAACUACGUG